GCUGCUCCGUGUGCCUCUUCCCAGGACGUCGCUCUCCCACUGCUGCUACGACCCAAGUGCCGACACCAUGGAGCUCGUCAAGACUGAGAGUGGUUUCCAUUUAACUUGUGUAGGCCUUCAAGUUAAGCCGGAGCUGUGAAGAAGCCGGCGCCCCCGUCAUGCCCUUCCCUUCAGCUGGCAUCCACCCUCCUUCCUUCCUGGCGGCAUAGGUGGCCUUCAAGUUAAGACUGGGCUGCGGAGAAGCUGCUAUGGCCAAGGGCCCCUUCAACGAAGCUGCUCAACAUCAAGUCAAAGCCCCCCUCUACUGUAACCAAGGCUCAUGAAAUACCACUUUGUGGUCUUCCACUCUGAUGCCCCCACCAUGCCCCUCCCCUGCAUCCACUCUCCUUCCUUCUGCACGCGCUGUAGGGAUGGAGCAUGCCGUGUGCCUCUUCCCUGGUCGCCGCUCUCCCGCUGCUGCUCUGUCCCAAGUGCUGAAGCCAUGGAGCUCGUCAAGUAGCAACACCAGCAGUGCAGUCCCGUACUGACGCCAACCCUCCCUCUUGCUCUGCUCUGGCAGGCUCUGCCGCCCGUCCAAGCACGCCAAGUUUGGCAGAGGCAAGCAGAAGAAGAAAUGGAGCAUGGGAAAGCAGAAGGUGAACAAUGGGGUGCUGCCUGACUAGACAACUCAUGACAAGCUGAUCAACCCCUCCAUCCUCUCUGGGGACCUCAGGAACCCGGGUCGGUUCAGCAGCCCAGGAAGAAGAAUAUCCUGCCCAACUAGAGUUUUGAAGUUUAGCCAGCAAUCAAGAGAUGGACUGAGUUGAAAAAGAUACUCGGGGAUGAUAUGCACCUCUGCUCGUACUCGGAUAGGCAUUUUUCAUGUUUAUUUUUCUUCUUCACUGAGUGUCGCCCAAAUGGAGAUGUUGGUGAUAUUGGUUCUGGGAUUUUGUAAAAUUUGGAUCAAGUGGCUGUUGAUGUUGGUCUUGUCGAGUGCUACAGUACAUACUGUUGUAAAAUUUGGAUGUAGAUUGUAUUGUGCGCCAGCAGUUUUGGUCAGUGUCAAACAAACAGAUUGGAUUAGUUGUCUGUUGGUGUA